CAGUAGCCGCGGGAAUACGUAGGUGGCAAGCGUUGUCCGGAAUUAUUGGGCGUAAAGCGCGCGCAGGUGGUUUAAUAAGUCUGAUGUGAAAGCCCACGGCUCAACCGUGGAGGGUCAUUGGAAACUGUUAAACUCGAGUGCAGGAGAGAAAAGUGGAAUUCCUAGCGUAGCGGUGAAAUGCGUAGAGAUUAGGAGGAACACCAGUGGCGAAGGCGGCUUUUUGGCCUGUAACUGACACUGAGGCGCGAAAGCGUGGGGAGCAAACAGGAUUAGAUACCCCUGUAGUCCCUGUCUCUUAUAC
rnacentral:rRNA from 1 species